rnacentral:tRNA from 1 species
GCUCUCGUAGCUCAAUUGGAUAGAGCAUCUGUCUUCUAAACAGAGGGUUCUGGGUUCGAGUCCCAGCGAGAGUGCCA